UACGUAGGGGGCAAGCGUUAUCCGGAUUUACUGGGUGUAAAGGGGGCGCAGACGGCAAUGCAAGCCAGGAGUGAAAGCCCGGGGCCCAACCCCGGGACUGCUCUUGGAACUGCAUGGCUGGAGUACAGGAGGGGCAGGCGGAAUUCCUAGUGUAGCGGUGAAAUGCGUAGAUAUUAGGAGGAACACCGGUGGCGAAGGCGGCCUGCUGGACUGUGACUGACGUUGAGGCUCGAAAGCGUGGGGAGCAAACAGG
rnacentral:rRNA from 1 species